CAAAAUCAAUAGGAUUAUCCCCCUGGAAGAUCCCAUUGGAUGUAACCUUCAUGGGUGUGGAACAUGAUGCUUGUGUUGCAUUGGAAGCCAUUUUUUCUUUUUUUCUUCUUUCAAAUGAUCACCAAGAAACACAGAAAUUCACUGCAAGAAAAAGAUUGAUUUCUUAACUGAAUGCCUUAAUCAACCUGAAAUUGCUUCGUAGGCAAGAAAAUGGCACCCGAUUUCUUUAAUCGUCUUCGUUUUCUCUUCAUCACUCUGUUUGUUCCUCCUUUCAAAAAAUCAAGAAGAAGAAGAAAUGGGAAGAUUUGUAGACAUAUGGAGAAGCUUUGAAGAAGGUGUGAAGAGAUUGCGGAGUGAUACGGUUAAGGGCCGCAAAAUGAGCAAAUACCGUAAGUGCCAUUGGCAUCGACAGUGAGUCUCCUAUCUCAAAAUUACACUGCUACCCAUCCAAGUCUAGCUGAAUUAAACAAGGACUAGACAAUGCUUUUUUCUUCUGUUUACCAGAUAAUUACUGUACACACCCAAACCCCAGCACUAAGAGAUAAUGGGGAAAAAAAAAUUAAUUUUUUCUUAAAUUUAAAGAAGCGAUAUCCAUG
rnacentral:misc_RNA from 1 species